AUACGGAAGGUCCGGGCGUUAUCCGGAUUUAUUGGGCUUAAAGGGAGCGCAGGCGGAGAUGCAAGCGUGACGUCAAAUUUCGGGGCUCAACCCCGUCUAGCGGCGCGAACUGCGUCCCUUGGUUGCGGGAAGGGGAGGCGGAACUCGUGGGGGUGCGGGUGAAUGCAUAGAUAUCACGAAGAACUCCGAUCGCGAAGGCAGCCUUCCGGCCCGUCAACGACGCUCAUGCUCGAAGGUGCGGGUAUCAAACAGGAUUAGAUACCCUGGUAGUCCGCACAGUAAACGAUGGACACCCGCGGUUUGGCCUGUAUGGCUGAGCCGCCAAGCGAAAGCGUUAAGUGUCCCACCUGGGGAGUACGCCGGCAACGGUGAAACUCAAAUGAAUUGACGGGG
rnacentral:rRNA from 1 species